UUGUUCUGUUGUUCUUUUCACAGAUCACGUAGUACGUCAUGGAACCUGUCCUGAGUCCUUGCGGUUCCCUCAGGGAGGGCAACGCCCCAUGGUGGGGAGUUUGUGCUUUGGGAACACGUGGGCUGGAAGGUGGCGGAAGAUGAGCCCGGUGUCGACUUCUCAUUAAUUAGUACAUGGGCAGUUCUGGUUAUUUAUCUCCUUUGUCUCCUGAAGUACAGACCACACGUGAUGCAACGACCGCUUAAAGCCACCGCACAUGCACCUCUGGAAGCAGGUGAAGUUGAUCCAGUCUUUCCAGAUUAAGAUCCGGGAAAAAGAUCAUCACAAUCCGCCUGUUGUCCUGCUCCCGUCCUCCUAUGUGCAGGGAGUUCAACCAAGCGAUGUCGAGGUUGGUCAACAGGUUGUCUGGAGGUAAAUCUCUUCUUGUGAAAA